rnacentral:tRNA from 1 species
UAGAGAAUAGUAAAAUGGGAUUACGGGAGGCUUUGAUUCUCCAGUUGU